AUUUAUAUAGUUUAUUUAAAACAUUUUAUUUUCAUUAAAAAAAAGGUAAAAACCCUAUAAAUU
rnacentral:tRNA from 1 species